rnacentral:SRP_RNA from 1 species
GCUGGGCACGGUGGCGCGUGCCUGUAGUCCCAGCUACUCGGGAGGCAGAGGCUGGAGGAUUGCUUGAGCCCAGGAGUUCUGGGCUGUAGUGCGCUAUGCCGGUCAGGUGUCCGCACUAAGUUCGGCAUCAAUAUGGUGACUUCCCGGGAGUGGGGGACCACCAGGUUGCCUAAGGAGGGGUGAACCGGCCCAGGUUGGAAACGGAGCAGGUCAAAACUUCUGUGCUGAUCAGUAGUGGGAUCGCGCCUGUGAAUAGCCGCUGCACUCCAGCCUGAGCAACAUAGCGAGACCCUUAU